GCGCGAGUGGUCUACCGGUAUGACAUUUGCCUUCCAAGCAAAUUGACUGGGUUCGAUUCCCAGCUCGCGCA
rnacentral:tRNA from 1 species